rnacentral:rRNA from 1 species
GUCUAAAACGACUCUCGGCAACGGAUAUCUCGGCUCUUGCAUCGAUGAAGAACGUAGCGAAAUGCGAUACUUGGUGUGAAUUGCAGAAUCCCGUGAACCAUCGAGUCUUUGAACGCAAGUUGCGCCCGAAGCCGUCAGGCCAAGGGCACGCCUGCCUGGGUGUCACUAA